CCAUGUAUUUUAAGGAGAAUCCCUGCGUGAUGAAAUGUCUUCGGUUCCUGUCGUGGAUGCCCAUGCAUAAAUGCCACUGUGGGAACCACACAUGCAAAUGAGUGGUGAAGAGGGAGGAUGAAGCGCAUGUCGAAUCAUGUCCUUUUCGGUAUGUGCAAUUAUCCACAAAUGAGUGGUGAAGAGGGAGGAUGAAGCGCAUGUCGAAUCAUGUCCAUUUCGGUACGUGCAAUUAUCCGGUGCCAUUCAUUGUCAGAAAUAAAAGAUCUUGCAUAGGAUCUUAAAACAAAAAAUAAAGCAAAAAAAAUAAAACAGAAAAGAAGUAGAGAAA
rnacentral:lncRNA from 1 species